rnacentral:rRNA from 1 species
GGUUAAAAAGCUCGUAGUUGGAUUUCUGUCUGGGAUGGUCGGUCCGCAUUUUGUGCGUGCAUCUGAUGCGUCCUCGGCAUCCUUCUGAAGGACAUUGUACUUUAUUGUAUGAUGGAUUUCAGAACUUUUACUUUGAGGAAAUUAGAGUGUUCACAGCAAGCAAGCGCUUUGAAUACAUUAGCAUGGAAUAAUAAUAUAGGACCUUCAGUACUAUUUUGUUGGUUUCUAGAGCUGAGGUAAUGAUUAAUAGGGACAGUUGGGGGCAUUCGUAUUAACGCGUCAGAGGUGGAAUUCUUGGAUUGCGUUACGACGAACUACUGCGAAAGCAUUAGCCAAGGAUGUUUUCAUUGAUCAAGAACGAAAGUAUGGGGAUCGAAGACGAUUAGAUACCGUCGUAGUCUAUACCAUAAACUAUGCCGACUAGAGAUUGGAAGUCGUUUUUUUAUGACUCCUUCAGCACCUUAUGAAAAAUCAAAGUCUUUGGGGUUCCGGGGGGA